rnacentral:rRNA from 1 species
GCGGUAGAGAGAAGCUUGCUUUCUCUUGAGAGCGGCGGACGGGUGAGUAAUGCCUAGGAAUCUGCCUGGUAGUGGGGGAUAACGUUCGGAAACGGACGCUAAUACCGCAUACGUCCUACGGGAGAAAGCAGGGGACCUUCGGGCCUUGCGCUAUCAGAUGAGCCUAGGUCGGAUUAGCUAGUUGGUGAGGUAAUGGCUCACCAAGGCGACGAUCCGUAACUGGUCUGAGAGGAUGAUCAGUCACACUGGAACUGAGACACGGUCCAGACUCCUACGGGAGGCAGCAGUGGGGAAUAUUGGACAAUGGGCGAAAGCCUGAUCCAGCCAUGCCGCGUGUGUGAAGAAGGUCUUCGGAUUGUAAAGCACUUUAAGUUGGGAGGAAGGGUUGUAGAUUAAUACUCUGCAAUUUUGACGUUACCGACACAAUAACCACCGGCUAACUCUGUGCCAACAGCCGCGGUAAUACAGAGGGUGCAAUCGUUAUUCAGAAUUACUGGGAAUUAAGCGCGCGUAGGUGGCUUGUUCAGUUUC